UACGAAGGGGGCUAGCGUUGUUCGGAUUUACUGGGCGUAAAGGGCGCGUAGGCGGAUUUUUAAGUCAGGGGUGAAAUCCCACGGCCCAACCGUGGAACUGCCUUUGAUACUGGCGAGCUUGAGUGCGUGAGGGGUAACCGGAACGAGUAGUGUAGCGGUGAAAUGCGUAGAUAUUACUCGGAAGGCCAAAGGCGAAGGCAGGUUACUGGUACGCAACUGACGCUGAGGCACGAAAGCGUGGGGAGCAAACAGG
rnacentral:rRNA from 1 species